GUAAAGCAUAACAUUUAAGAAGACAAAACACAUUUUUAGAAACCAAAAUGCAAAAGAAAAAAAAAGAAGAAACAAAAGUAUUUUCAGAGAGCAAAAAGAAAUGUCAAAAAAAUGGAAACACAAGUAAGAAAAGAUGGACUCUGGUUCAUGUCUGAAGGACAUGUGGAACUCCACUUCAAGUUUGCGCAAGAUGAACAAGCAUGAGAGGAAUUCUGAAGUUGAAGUGACACCACCCUGUUUCGGAAGGACUUUUUUCUGGCCCUGUUUUUCACAGCUUAGACGAGCUCGCUUCAGGAAAGGGUGAGAUGAAAACUGAGAGAUAGCUGAC
rnacentral:lncRNA from 1 species